AAAAAAAGUAUUCAGUUUUCUACGGGAUGAGAAAUGUCGAAGUGAGUGGUGGGAUAUGCUUGCAUUUCAACAUGAAUUCCAUGAAUAUGCCUAUUUCACUAUUGGAGAAAAGCCAGGAAAUCGUGUCUCCAUAUUGCGAUCCAUGAAUGACAAAAUGAACGAGGUUGAAAUAUUUUACUUGCAAGCCAGUUAUACAGACUCAAUGGAGU